GCCGCCGCCGGAGAAAACCCUCCCAAACCACCAGCAAUGGAUGUCGUCCGAGUCCUUCUUCGAAUUGAACUAAAAACUUUCAACAACGGAUCUCUUGGUUCUGGCAUCGAU
rnacentral:rRNA from 1 species